rnacentral:rRNA from 1 species
ACAGAUCGUUCAGAGUUUGAUCCUGGCUCAGGAUGAACGCUGGCGGCGUGCUUAACACAUGCAAGUCGAACGAAGCACUUUAAAACAAUCUUUCGGGUGCGUUUUAUUGUGACUUAGUGGCGGACGGGUGAGUAACGCGUGGGUAACCUGCCUCAUGCAGGGGGAUAACAGUUAGAAAUGACUGCUAAUACCGCAUAAGCGCACAGUACCGCAUGGUACAGUGUGAAAAGAUUUAUCAGCAUGAGAUGGACCCGCGUCUGAUUAGCUAGUUGGUGAGGUAACGGCCCACCAAGGCGACGAUCAGUAGCCGACUUGAGAGAGUGAUCGGCCACAUUGGGACUGAGACACGGCCCAA